rnacentral:rRNA from 1 species
ACCAAGGCGACGAUCUCUAGCUGGUCUGAGAGGAUGACCAGCCACACUGGAACUGAGACACGGUCCAGACUCCGUACGGGAGGCGAGCAGUGGGGAAUAUUGCACAAUGGGGGAAACCCUGAUGCAGCCAUGCCGCGUGUGUGAAGAAGGCCUUCGGGUUGUAAAGCACUUUCAGUGGGGAGGAAGGGCUGAUGACUAAUAUUCAUCAGCAUUGACGUUACCCACAGAAGAAGCACCGGCUAACUCCGUGCCAGCAGCCGCGGUAAUACGGAGGGUGCAAGCGUUAAUCGGAAUAACUGGGCGUAAAGCGCACGCAGGCGGUUAGAUAAGUCAGAUGUGAAAGCCCCGGGGCUCAACCUGGGAACUGCAUUUGAAACUGUCUGACUAGAGUCUUGUAGAGGGGGGUAGAAUUCCAGGUGUAGCGGUGAAAUGCGUAGAGAUCUGGAGGAAUACCGGUGGCGAAGGCGGCCCCCUGGACAAAGACUGACGCUCAGGUGCGAAAGCGUGG